AUAAGAAUCCCUAAAAUAAAUCUAAUACAAACUAAAAUUGGUAUACCUUACAAUAAUAUGUUCUGAGUACAGCUGUUAACUGUUUAUUCUGUGUAAAUGGUGAUUGUGAUAAUGUGUGAAGUGUGCAGCUUAACUGGAGAGUGGUUUAAUUUAUAUGUUGCUGUGUUGUUUUAAAUUAUAUUUGAAUCAGUUUGUCUCAGUCUAGUGAUACUGAUAAAAAUGCCAGUCAAAUAACCUAGCAAAUAACUGUUUUAUUAGCUGUUGAAUACUAGCGUUUUGGCCAAGAGUAGUUCUAUGAGCUUAGAGAGGCUCUGUGUUGUGUUCUGAUAUAGCUAUAUGGGAAUGGAGAUUUGGAGGUGUUAGUUUAAGACUGCUUUCAUAUUGUGUCUACCCGUGUUUCCUAGGAGGGACACAGAGUGUGUAGUUGCGUGC